rnacentral:antisense_RNA from 1 species
CUCUAUGGUGGGCUGGAUGGGGCAAUCGAAAGAUUGGCCGGGCGGUUUCUCCGGUAGUGCAAACCCUGUUCAGUUCACCACCAAU